CAUAGCGACUAUCGUGGCAUAUCAAUAAGCGGAGGAAAAGAAACUAACAAGGAUUCCCUUAGUAACGGCGAGUGAAGCGGGAAGAGCUCAAAUUUGAAAUCUUCAAGGUUCUACCUUGACGAAUUGUAGUUUAUAGAAGUGUUUUCUGUUAGAGGAGGUGGUAAAAGUUCUUUGGAAUAGGACAUCAUAGAGGGUGAGAAUCCCGUAUUUGGUCAUUCCUUCCUAGCGUUGUGAUACACUAUCAACGAGUCGGAUUGUUUGGGAAUGCAGUCCAAAAUGGGUGGUAAAUUUCAUCUAAAGCUAAAUAUUGGCGAGAGACCGAUAGCGAACAAGUACCGUGAGGGAAAGAUGAAAAGAACUUAGAAAAGAGAGUUAAACAGUACGUGAAAUUGUCAAAAGGGAAGCGUUUGACACCAGUGUUGUUUUUCCGAAAAUCAAUUACGAAUGUUUUGUUUUUGAGGAGUUAUGACUUCAUCGGCUUGCUUCUCUCUUUACGAAACUUUCUUAAUGCACUUUUCGGUUAACAAGUCAACAUCAAUUUCUUUUGUUGUAAAAGGGUAUGAGGAAGGUGGCUUUCUUUUCGGAGAAAGUGUUUAUAGCCUUGUGCCUCUGCAAUCGGAGAGAUUGAGGUCUGCAGCGUAGAUCCUUCGGGGUUAGAUACAGUUUGUGCUAAGUUAUAGCUUUUCAUAGACAACUUGUUGACUAUGUUUAGUCUUGUAGCUUACUCGCUUAUGCUAUUUUACCUACGCUUAGGAUGUUGACGAGACUGUCGAUCUC
rnacentral:rRNA from 1 species